GUCGAGCUACCAUGCAAGUCGAGCGGUAGCACAGAGAGCUUGCUCUCGGGUGACGAGCGGCGGACGGGUGAGUAAUGUCUGGGAAACUGCCUGAUGGAGGGGGAUAACUACUGGAAACGGUAGCUAAUACCGCAUAACGUCGCAAGACCAAAGUGGGGGACCUUCGGGCCUCAUGCCAUCAGAUGUGCCCAGAUGGGAUUAGCUAGUAGGUGGGGUAAUGGCUCACCUAGGCGACGAUCCCUAGCUGGUCUGAGAGGAUGACCAGCCACACUGGAACUGAGACACGGUCCAGACUCCUACGGGAGGCAGCAGUGGGGAAUAUUGCACAAUGGGCGCAAGCCUGAUGCAGCCAUGCCGCGUGUAUGAAGAAGGCCUUCGGGUUGUAAAGUACUUUCAGCGAGGAGGAAGGCAUUAAGGUUAAUAACCUUAGUGAUUGACGUUACUCGCAGAAGAAGCACCGGCUAACUCCGUGCCAGCAGCCGCGGUAAUACGGAGGUGCAAGCGUUAAUCGGAAUUACUGGGCGUAAAGCGCACGCAGGCGGUCUGUUAAGUCAGAUGUGAAAUCCCCGGGCUCAACCUGGGAACUGCAUUUGAAACUGGCAGGCUUGAGUCUUGUAGAGGGGGGUAGAAUUCCAGGUGUAGCGGUGAAAUGCGUAGAGAUCUGGAGGAAUACCGGUGGCGAAGGCGGCCCCCUGGACAAAGACUGACGCUCAGGUGCGAAAGCGUGGGGAGCAAACAGGAUUAGAUACCCUGGUAGUCCACGCUGUAAACGAUGUCGACUUGGAGGUUGUUCCCUUGAGGAGUGGCUUCCGGAGCUAACGCGUUAAGUCGACCGCCUGGGGAGUACGGCCGCAAGGUUAAAACUCAAAUGAAUUGACGGGGGCCCGCACAAGCGGUGGAGCAUGUGGUUUAAUUCGAUGCAACGCGAAGAACCUUACCUACUCUUGACAUCCAGAGAACUUAGCAGAGAUGCUUUGGUGCCUUCGGGAACUCUGAGACAGGUGCUGCAUGGCUGUCGUCAGCUCGUGUUGUGAAAUGUUGGGUUAAGUCCCGCAACGAGCGCAACCCUUAUCCUUUGUUGCCAGCGGUUCGGCCGGGAACUCAAAGGAGACUGCCAGUGAUAAACUGGAGGAAGGUGGGGAUGACGUCAAGUCAUCAUGGCCCUUACGAGUAGGGCUACACACGUGCUACAAUGGCAUAUACAAAGAGAAGCGACCUCGCGAGAGCAAGCGGACCUCAUAAAGUAUGUCGUAGUCCGGAUUGGAGUCUGCAACUCGACUCCAUGAAGUCGGAAUCGCUAGUAAUCGUAGAUCAGAAUGCUACGGUGAAUACGUUCCCGGGCCUUGUACACACCGCCCGUCACACCAUGGGAGUGGGUUGCAAAAGAAGUAGGUAGCUUAACCUUCGGGAGGGCGCUACC
rnacentral:rRNA from 1 species